AUGGAAAUUCAACAUUAAUAUUAUAAUAUUUAUUUAUAAAUAUUAUAAAAAUAGUGUGCAAUUUUUCCAUAUAAGGACAUUGUAAUCUGUUAAUGUAAUAAAUAUUUAUCAUAAGAUUCAAUAAAUAAAAGUUUAUUCAAAUUAGUUAUUUUCCGAUUUCUAACAUAGAAUAAAUUUAAUUGAAUUUGAUAAAUCAUUGACAGAUUUAUUUAUAUAUAGUGCUUAAAUUUUUAAUAGAAUUUUACAAUAAUUUAUAAAUGUAUUUUCAUUUAUUUAUUUGUUGUAUGCACUUAUAUGAUUAACAAUGCUAUAGAUUCAGGAUACCUUCGGGACCCGUCUUGAAACACGGACCAAGGAGUCUAACAUAUGUGCAAGUCAUUGGGUAUUUUUAAUAAAACCCAAAGGCAUAAUUAACUUAACUGUUUUUAAAAUGGGAUUAGUUUAUAUUUUAUUAUGAAAUAUUAAUUCAAUCCCGGGGCGUUCUAUAUAGUUAUGUAUAAUAAUAUUUAUAUUAUUUAUGCCUCUAACUAGAGCGUACCUUGAGCAUAUAUGCUGU
rnacentral:rRNA from 1 species